ACGCUGUAUCAAGAGAUCUCGAUUAAAUCGGGACGGCAACCCCACAGGUAGGGUGCCAAAAUGAUACGCCCCAAAAGGGAACUGUGAUUUAAACA
rnacentral:ncRNA from 2 species